rnacentral:lncRNA from 12 species
AUGGACGCGGUGGAGCACAUGAUGUCAAACGCUACCCAGAUGUUGCAGAACGCGCCGAACGGCCAGAAGCCGGCCACCUCCGCCGCCGCCUUCCACGGCAUCACGAGCACGGCCACCAGCAGGUCCGACACGGCCAGCGACGCGAUGAAGACGUGCGUGACUUUGGCGCGCAGGUGGCGGAAGCGCAGCACGGUGGCGCACACCAGAGCGUUCCCGAGCAGCGUCCAGAGGAUCAGCGCGCACAGCAGGCAGCCGGUCAGCGCGCGCGUCAGCGUCUCCCGCGGCUCGGUUCGGUCGCGCAUGCUGGGUCUCCGGUACCGAGGCGCGCCGCAUGACCGAGGAGCGAAUCCUACACCGAGCGAAUCCGGUGCACUCCAGACGAUCCGAUGUUUGCGCACGGAGCUGUCUGAACUCUCUGAGCGCGAGGGAACUGUGCAUGGCUAUUUUGAACGAGAGAGAGAGAGAGAGAGAGAGAGAGAGAUUCAGUCUGGAUAUGCACUGAAUGAAUAAAAGGAACCGCUGCUCAUUUACAUGAUUAUCACGCAUGUAAUCUUACAACUCAUUGAUGUGUACAACUCAGUAAUUACAUUAGAUUUUGCAUGGUUUGUAUUUCAUAAUUUCAAGUUCAUUUGUUGAAGUUAUCUGCUUACCCAUUAAAGAUAACGCAGGCAGACGAGAUGUGCAUGCAGCUCAUUCACAAUCAGAUUUAUAGAGAUUGUCAAUGUUUCGGUAACUUUUAAGGUAUCAUGUUACACACAUUACAUUUACUUACCGCUAUAAUAGCUAUCAAUAAACUAUGCAUAAUUACAUGCAAGUUACCAUAACCAUAUGGUAAGUACAUGUAGUUAAUCAAUAUUACUCAGCACUUAAAUGUAUAAUUACGUUGAAACAAGGACACCUUAAAAUAAAGUUUCAGGUGUAAAUGUCAGUGAGCAGAUGUCAACAACACACGGCUUCAUAAUCAUAAUGAUGAUCUAUGAUUGCAUUCAUUAUUUGCAGCACGCACAGAUUUAGUUUUUUUUUUUUUCCUCAAAGAAGGACACGCAUAAAAAUGAACAUCUGAAACGACACAAAUAAGAGCGCAGGAAUGAGGAGGUUUGGUCAGGUUUUCCUCAGAUAUCGACUGUGCAUCGAUUCUCUCAUAGCAGAGUUCAGUUCAGGAUUUCCCUUGAAGAUUGAUUCUUCACACGGACUCAGAAAUCCUCAAUGAAAGCAGGAUGAGAGUAUAAAUGCGUCUGUAGCGCCACCUACAGUAAACAGAGGAUCAUGGCAAUCACUUCAGUGCAACACAUCAGUCAGAAAAAAGUCACACAGUUUUGUGGUGUUCCUCAGGGCUCCAUUCUGGCUCCGAUUUUUUUUAUGUUACAUACUACCCUUGGGUUUGAUUUUUAAGAAAUAUGGAAUUUCAUUUCAUUUAUAUGCUGAUGAUCUAUAGUUGUAUCUUCCUUUAAAACAAAUGGAAAUAAUGCACUAGGAGCUCUGUAUGCAUGCAUCCAGGAACUAAAAAUAUGGCUUACAAAAAUCUUUUGACUUUAAAUGAAGGUAAAACACAAGUAAUUUUGUUUGGACCUAGCUUAAUGCAAGUAGUAAUUAUAACUCCAUGUGCAAAAAAAACUUUUUUUGAUUUGGCUUGGCCUAAAGUUUGACAAACAGAUUAAUGGAGUAGUUAAGUCGUGUUUUUUUUUUUCUUUUCAUUUUUCCAUCUUCGUCACAUGGCUAAAUUCCAUGGCUAAAAAAAUAAUUUUUAUCAACAAAGAAUUUUGAAAAAGUAAUUCAUGCAUUUGUCAUUUCUCGUUUGUAAUUCACUUUAUUAUGGGAUUAACUGCUCAUCUGUGGAGCGUUUCCAAUUCCUCCAUAAUGCAGCAGCCAGGCUCUUGACUGGAACACGAACGUUUCACCUCAUCUUUUCUAUUUUGAUUUCUCUGCAGUGGUUGCCUGUAAAAUUGAGAGUUGAAUUUAAAAUAUGAAUUUUGGUUUUUAAAUCGCUCAAUAUUCUUGCACCGGUUUAUCUCACUGAGUUGUUGAUUAAGCUUUUUCUGUUGUUUCUGGUCCAACUCUCCCUGUUGCUAUCUGAACAGCACCUUCUCUAUCUAUUUUUAAAUCUAUGCUUAAAUCUUAUUUGUUUGAAACAUUUAUGAUGGGUUAAAUCUUUAUUUGCAUUGUUUUUGUACAUUGUCUAUAUUUUGAUUAUUGAUUUCUAUAUACAGCACUUUGGUCAACUUUUCCAUUGUUUUAAAAUGUGCUUUAUAAAUAAAGAAUGAAAUGCAUGAACUGACAGUGACACUUAAAACAGCACAUAGAGUCUCAGACGCGUGUGAAAUGUGGAAAAGCGUCUCUCAGUUCUGCCAGAAGAGCCUCAGAAGCCGCUGAACAUCACAAACACAUGAGAGAAGCUUCACUCCACAGCUGCUCCGGCCGGAGGGAACACCUCGAACUGUCAGACAUCUGGCCUCAUCAGGAGCACAUCUGUGUUUGAAGGAUACUGAGAUCGAGCCUCGUGAAGAGACAGUGACUCACUGAUGUCCAUCAGUCCAGUAAGACCUCACUUUACUCAAGCAGAAUGGGCUGUCGUCAUUUACUCUGCAGAACAGAAGAUUCCUUACAUUUUUGUCUUUUCCAGUACAAAUAACUAAACAUGCAUACAUCAAAUUAUUGUUUCUUGGGAAGCAAAAUUACAUUGGAUAUUUAAGGAGGAGAAUGGAACACUAUUUCCAUUUAAUACUGUAAAGCUGCUUUGACAUAGUCUGCAUUGUAAAAAGCACUGUAUAAAUAAUGGUGACGACUUGAUAUUUUUAGGAAUGUUUUCCCAUAAUAAUAAAAAAAAAAAAUCAAAAUUAAAUGUUUGCUUAAAACAAAACAAAAUAUCAGAAAAAUAAUUCUGGUUUUAUAUUUGAAUGAAGUCGAUUUUUCUGACCCCGUUGGUAGAUUCUUCUUUUUCUUUAAGCAUAAACUCAAGUUUUUUGGAUCCACAUUUGGAUGACUCUUUCAUUUUGAUUCUUGAGUAAAUCUGUCUUGAUGAAUAUUUAGGUAUCUGUACUGGAAAACAAGACAGAAAUAUUGCAGUAAGAAGGUUGUUUUAUGCAUCUUCUGGAACACACCAGUGUUUAGAUCUCUGAAUAAUGAAAACAGCUGCAUUUAUACAUGAAGACCUCCAGAAGAACCGAACACGAGGCUCGCUGGACUCGCGGACGCUUCAG